rnacentral:rRNA from 1 species
UGGGGAAUAUUGGACAAUGGGCGCAAGCCUGAUCCAGCCAUGCCGCGUGAGUGAUGACGGCCUUAGGGUUGUAAAGCUCUUUCGCUAGGGACGAUAAUGACGGUACCUAGACAAGAAGCCCCGGCUAACUUCGUGCCAGCAGCCGCGGUAAUACGAAGGGGGCUAGCGUUGUUCGGAAUUACUGGGCGUAAAGCGCGUGUAGGCGGGCGAAUAAGUCAGGGGUGAAAUGCCAAGGCUCAACCUUGGAACUGCCUUUGAUACUGGAGAUCUUGAGUCCGGGAGAGGUGAGUGGAACUGCGAGUGUAGAGGUGAAAUUCGUAGAUAUUCGCAAGAACACCAGUGGCGAAGGCGGCUCACUGGCCCGGAACUGACGCUGAGACGCGAAAGCGUGGGGAGCAAACA